AGAGUUCCCCGGGGGCCACAGGGACCACGCAGGCUCUAGGCGGUGCGCAGUUGCCCAACUUCGUGCCAGGGCUCUCGCACGAUUCUAGUCGUGGCCGCGACGGUGUUCCAGCAAGCAGGAUUUCCCCACCAAGUUUUUGGUGGCCAAGGAUGGUGGCACCUAUGGGAGUCCUGGUAGUGGGGCGCGCGGGCUCCCAUCCGCUGGCUGUGGCCACCUCAAAGGAACCGCUCAGACCCAUGGCGCUCAACUAACUCACCCCAGUGCGGCCGAGGCGGCCUUUGUAAGUGGUUUCUCUGCCACUGCCGCCUGGGCCACUUGCCCUAUGGACUGCCCGAGCUGGUGUUCGCUAGGCCAUGAACCACUUAAUGAUGACGGUGCACCCGGCACACCAGCUGGGCUCCUCCUCCCCGCAACCCCCUCACUCUUUUCAGCGCCCAGCAUUGCGACCCUCUCCAUUUCCACCCCUGGCUGCUUCGGAAUCGCUUCUUUGGCCUCCACUUCCAGGGUGCUGGACACCUGGACUUUUGGACACAGGCUUUUGCAAAGCCAUUGAGGUUGAAAUGCACCUGCCUAGCCGGAUGAUGGUGGCACACGCCUUUAACCAGGAGGAAGAGGAGGAUCUCGGCCAUCUUCAGUGUUACAUGAAUUCCUAGGAGCUCAGUUUAAGAAAGAGCACGUGACACCUGCCUGACUGGAAUUUGUUCACGUACAAGAAGAGACAGAGACACACACAAGAGAGCGAGCCUCACCAGGGGCUCCAUGUCCCAGUUCCGGAUGGUGAGGAAUCAUCAGGAUGAUGCCAGCUCUGCAACCCAGGCCGGCCCAGAGCCUCCGUGAAGUCCUCCUUGGUUUUGUCUGCUUAGCUAGCCUGGUCCAGUGGCUGCAGCCAGCACAGAACCCGUGAAAGGAACUUUCCUAGAGUUAUGCACUGUGCCUUGGGGAACAUGGGGUCCUGUUCCUGCCACUUCCUGCCAGAGUGGAAUAAGACACCCAUCUCUUUUCAGAUUAGGGAGAAAAAAGUUCUGUCCUAAGAGAAUUCAGUGUUGCUCUGAGGACAGUGCAGCUAAGAGAUACAAUGCCUCUCACAGAGGCAGAGUACCAUAGGACAGUAUGUUGAACUCAGCAGAAUCCCAGCAGGGUUACUAUGCCAGGAACCUUGUUGUCCUGUUUUCAAAAUAAGUGAGACAUUUGGUUGGUAGGACCUUCCAUGUCUGUCACAGGGGCUUCUGUGUGCCUCAUGCUGUGACAGAUGUUGGUAUAGUUUAGGGAGAAAGGACACAGGAGAUGACAUCUUACCGAUGUGACCGUGGGAGGGACAGGGAAAGCUUCCCUGAAGCUCCCUCAAAGGAUGUGCAAGGCUGCUUACCUGGGCAAGAGCAUGCAACCUUCAAAUACUCAGAGAAACUCAAGCAAUCUUCUGGAUUUUUCCAGCUGAGUGCAGACUCCAGGUAGAGGCCUGAAGUUGUCAGGAGACAGGGCCACAGCAGCUUGCUGCACCAUCAUGAGGGUCUCGAGUUUUACCCAGGUUGCAAAAGGCAUUACUACCUCACGGUGUGGUAUGUGGUGGUGAGUGAGGAGUUAUGUUGCCAACUUGAAGAAGAGUGGCCUUGAAGGAACAAGCAUAGAGAGAGAGGAGUUGAGUUAUUAGAGGGCAGAAUUGGUGGAGAGAGAGGGCACAGCUGCCUUUGGAGUCACUCCACAGCUGUGGUUUUCACAAGUGUUGUUUUGAGUUUGGUCUGAGGACUCAAGCAAUGUAAGCUGUGAUGGCUUUUGUGGGGAGGGCGAGGGAAGGCUUAUAUAACGUUGGCAGGAGACUGUCCUCUACAGGAGUCCCACAUGGGCACUUGCAGGCCUCAUUCUCAACAUGGGAACCCAUUUUGGGGCAGGUGGGACAGGCUGACUAGGGAGACUUCUCUGGGGAGAGAAGGCUACCUCCUGAACAAGACCAUGUUCCCUGCAAGAAACAGGGAGCAGAGGACAGUCGUGCCCCAUACAACAUGAUGGGACGUGUGUGACUGUCCUUUGCUCCCUGUUUACCCAGGCUGGGGGAGAGGGGAUGGGCUACUGUUCCACAUACAGCUUUAGGGCACUUUUGCAUCUCAGCCCUCUCCUCUGAGUAAGACCCAGUGAGCACCAGCCCUUCCUGCCUGGGAUUUUACCUGGACAGAACUGUGCUUGGGUGGAAGCUCUUCUUGUGCAGAAGGGGCCAGUGACACUUGCUGCUGAACAUCUGGCCUGGAUCCUCUGAAGGGCUGUCUAGUUCACAGCCAGUGCAAUUCACCAGCACAUGGUUCACAAGCUAUGGAGCUGGGGCUGAUCCUCUACUGGAGUUCAAAACAGAAAGUCAUAGUACAGAGGCCUUUCGUGCCUUUGAAAUACACGGGGCUUGCUUGGCUGGCCCUGCAGUGCCAUAGCACUCCACUGGUUCUCCAAGGACUCUCUGCUUCCUUUGGCCCAGGUCCCACCCUCACUUCUCCUUGCUUUGAUCAGCACCUCUGUAGUCCACUCCUGGUUCAACCAGCUUGAGGUUUCCCUUCAGGGGUUUCUAUGGAAUUGGUUUUUUUGAAGUGACACACUGUUAAGUUCCUGAGUGUGCCAGAAGUGGGCACACUCAUCAUUUGUCACAAAGGACAAGGGGAUGUAUGGAUGAAAUGAAUGAGGACCUGGUCCUGUGGGUGACUCCACGAUCCCCUUUCCUUGCACUCAGGUUCUUACAGUAGGCUUGACUUCUCUUUGGUAGUGGCAGGCAGCAGCACAGGUUUCUGAGGCAGUUCAUGAUUGUUUUCAUCAUUCCCUCACAGUGUUGAUGCUGGUUACCAGGGGAAGCUGGACCUGCAUCCUCAGGGUGGCCAUUAGUAGUGGUUUCUUCCUGAAUGGUGGGCAUUUCCUGAAUAUUGGCCAUAUCCUGAAUGAUGGCCUAUUCCUAUUUACGACCUCUUUCUGGAUGAAGGUCUUUACCUGUGUGAGGUUUUCUUAAAAGUAUACAAGUGGAAGUGCCUGUGAAGGUUACACUCCUAGCUGUCUGUAGGGAUCUCCAGACCUCCUUUUGGGGCCUGCAGGACAUCUUUCUUUGUCAAUCAUGGCCUCAUUGUCUGGUCUAGAAGAGGAAGUAUAUAGAAAUUGAGACAGGACAGGUUCGGUCAGGCUACCAUAGAAGACGAGUUUGGACUGAGCGAAAUUCUCACUGAUUUCCAGUCUGUUGCUCAUGAGGGAAUCAGCCACAGGUUGGUCCAUGUGGAAUAGAUAUGGAUGGUGAUCCUGCUUGGCUAGCAGCACACAGCAUGUCUUCUGCCUCCCUGCUGGUAUUUCUCAUCCUCCUCCUCCUUUAGCUUAGAGGAAUGUGAGGAAAAUGUGUAGAGUGAAGAGUCUCAGAUGCUUUCUUUAGGACGCAGAGAAGGUGUGAAGGUCUUCCAGGCCUGGCUGCAUGCAUUUCAAGGUUUUCAUUUAGUAGUGGGAACAGUCUCCCUUGGGUGACUUGUGUUGUAGAAUUAUGUAGGUUGCAAUCACCUCAUUGAAUUUUUGCUCUCUCACUUUAUUUCUUCAUAUGCAUACCCCAUGGCUCUCAUGGUCCUGAUCAUGGGGCUCUAGUUGCCUGGGAAACUCUGUGUGGAAGUAGGUGGUAAACCUACUUCACUGUCCCUGUUCAUGGGGUGCCUCGUGAUGAUGUGUAUGGUGGGCCUCGUGAUGGGAUUAAUCAUCAUUUUGAAGAUGUCUUUGAAAAUAUUAGUGGAAAGAUUAGGAGGAAGGCUGAAGCUUGAGGUGAUCUGUCCUCACCUCUAUAAAAGUCCUGCCUUGGAAAGGAAAGCGCCUGGCUACCACGAGGAAGAUGAGGGCGCCUAAACUCCAGAUAUGGGCUGGGCAGACCUCACAUUCUUCCACAUGUAGGAUUUCCAGGGCACAGCAGGGCAGCGUGCCAUAGAAAUCCACCUGCUUCUGCCUAGAAUCACUUUAACAACCAGGCCAGAAUUGUACAGCCCCUUGCAGUCAAUCAAAAUGUUGCUGGCCUUUAUGUCUCUGUGAACAGUGUGAUUGUCAUGACAGUAUUGCACCACGUGUUGUAUCUGGGCAAACAUCCUUUGAGCCUAACUCUCCUCUAAAGACCCCCAUUCAUGUAUGGAGUCUAAUAGCUCUCCCUAGAGGCUUGCUCCAUCACGAGGCUUGCUCCAUCACCAGGUAGGUGGUUAUUCUCCUCUGGACCAGGUGAAACAGCUUGAUAAUGUUAGGAUUGGUAAGGAAUUUCAUGAUGUUGACUUCGCUACUAAUAAAGGAGGUGUACUUCAUGUUCCUGAGAAGUUUUACAUCCACACAGGUCAGUGUGGGUACAUGGUAGGUCAGUUUGACCACUGAAAUGUUUCCUUUGCACAGGUUUGUCAUCCUGUCUGCCAACAUCUUUGUUUUUAGUUAAGACAUGCUUUAUAUCCUUCCAAGUUCAUCUGCUUACACAUGUGUCCUUGAGAGACUGUCCAAGCCAAAAUGAAAUGGCCUCAGUCAAUCAUGGAUACUGUGUAUCAUAAACUUGCUGUAUAUGCAUUUAUGGUCAUUGUAUAACUUCCUGAAAUUGUUCACACUUUGUGUUGCUUGCCUUUAAAAGACACUGAGAAAAUACACUCAUUGCUGGCAUGGUAUUGACCAGCAGCCCUCUCA